rnacentral:lncRNA from 1 species
GAAAUCAGGAACUAUGUGUCUGACUAAUCCGAAAAAGAAAAAAAAAGAUUGAUCUCUGAAAUCAUUGACAUGUGGUUCAAUGGUAUUGGAGAAAUAUGUGACAUCAAAGUUUAGGUUCAUUCAAAAUAUUGACGACUUUAAAGUCAGGCAAAAACGGAGUAGGUACUCUAAGUAUCUGAAAAGUGAUCACACAUUACAGCUCACCCCUGUCGAGUAUUAGAAAAUACGGACGAAAUAUUUGUUGGACGAACGUGUAUACGGACGGAAGUACGGAUGAUGAUUUCAAUAUAGCCCCAACUGUAGAGCAGCCAUAAAACAAUAUUU